rnacentral:rRNA from 1 species
UACGAAGGGGGCAAGCGUUGUUCGGAAUUACUGGGCGUAAAGGGCGCGUAGGCGGCUUAUCAAGUCAGGCGUGAAAUUCCCGGGCUCAACCUGGGGGCUGCGCUUGAUACUGAUUGGCUUGAAUGCGGGAGAGGAUAGUGGAAUUCCCAGUGUAGAGGUGAAAUUCGUAGAUAUCAGGUGGAACACCAGUGGCGAAGGCGGCUUUCUGGACGAUAACUGACGCUGAGGCACGAAGGUCAGGGGAGCAAACGGG